GCACAUCCUGUCACCAUGCAGGAGUCAAGUGCCCAGCUGAAAUCUGAAAGAGCUGUCUAAGUGAGGCUGCAUGGCACAAAGGGAUGAGAGUUAUGCAGUUUUGUUCACAGCAGUUUUUAAUCUUGGUGAUGGGGAUGCCUGUCUGUAAGUGGGUUGUGAAUGCUAGCUUAAGAGCAACAAGUAUCUGAAGGCAUCAGCAUUAUCACCCUGCAUUACUGUUCCAGGAAUUCUAAUUGAGUGACAGUUUUGAAAUCUGCCAUGAACUGCAGACAUGUACUUACAUCUUGAAUUCAUCACUUGAAAGACUACUUUGACAGUAAUGGCAAAUGUCAUCACAACUCUCCUUAAUGCUGAAAGAAGGCUGAAUUCAAGAUCAUGCAAUGGAUACAAUGUGCGUGCAGCCUUCACAGCUGGUGAGCUUUGCCUUCAUGUACUUCAUUGCAAGAUGGUAGGCCUGAAGCUCACCAAUGAUUCCUACCCCAAGCCUAACCAAAUCCUGGUCCUACAGACUGCUGACCGUGUGGAACCAUGCAAGGAGGUUCAUUGAAAUUCAGUAGGACUGUGUGUGGACAUCAACAGAGCAAUGCUGUCUCUGUGUGUUGACUAGCAGUAUGGAGGCCUUAAUUUCUUAGGCUGUACUCUGUGUCAGUGCCAUUUAAUACAAAUUUUAAUGCCUCAUUUAGGUCAUAAAUCAUUGAAAGGAAUAAAAACAUAGCAUG
rnacentral:lncRNA from 14 species